CAGCAGGCGCGAAACCUCUGCAAUAGGCGAAAGCCUGACAGGGUUACUCUGAGUGAUUUCCGUUAAGGAGAUCUUUUGGCACCUCUAAAAAUGGUGCAGAAUAAGGGGUGGGCAAGUCUGGUGUCAGCCGCCGCGGUAAUACCAGCACCCCGAGUGGUCGGGACGUUUAUUGGGCCUAAAGCAUCCGUAGCCGGUUCUACAAGUCUUCCGUUAAAUCCACCUGCUUAACAGAUGGGCUGCGGAAGAUACUAUAGAGCUAGGAGGCGGGAGAGGCAAGCGGUACUCGAUGGGUAGGGGUAAAAUCCGUUGAUCCAUUGAAGACCACCAGUGGCGAAGGCGGCUUGCCAGAACGCGCUCGACGGUGAGGGAUGAAAGCUGGGGGAGCAAACCGGAUUAGAUACCCCGGGUAGUCCCAGCUGUAAACCGAUGCAGACUCGGUGAUGAGUUGGCUUUAUGCCANNUCAGUGCCGCAGGGAAGCCG
rnacentral:rRNA from 1 species